rnacentral:rRNA from 1 species
CCUACGGGCGGCAGCAGUGAGGAAUAUUGGUCAAUGGACGAGAGUCUGAACCAGCCAAGUAGCGUGAAGGAUGACUGCCCUAUGGGUUGUAAACUUCUUUUAUAUGGGAAUAAAAUGUUCCACGUGUGGGAUUUUGUAUGUACCAUAUGAAUAAGGAUCGGCUAACUCCGUGCCAGCAGCCGCGGUAAUACGGAGGCUCCGAGCGUUAUCCGGAUUUAUUGGGUUUAAAGGGAGCGUAGGUGGUGUGUUAAGUCAGUUGUGAAAGUUUGCGCUCAACCGUAAAAUUGCAGUUGAAACUGGCAGUCUUGAGUACAGUAGAGGUGGGCGGAAUUCGUGGUGUAGCGGUGAAAUGCUUAGAUAUCACGAAGAACUCCGAUUGCGAAGGCAGUUCACUGGACUGCAACUGACACUGAGGCUCGAAAGUGUGGGUAUCAAACAGGAUUAGAUACCCGUGUAGUC